CCUUAAAAAUUUCAAUUUUUACGAAAGGACUCUUGAAUAUAAAAAAUUUUUUCUUUAGAA
rnacentral:tRNA from 1 species